UUAUGGCCAUAUCACGUUGAGACACCGGUUCUCGUAUGAUCACCCGAGGUAAGCAACAUCGAGCCUGAUCAGUACCUAUAUGGGUGACCGCUCGAAAAUACCGGGUGCUGUAAG